rnacentral:rRNA from 1 species
UACGGGGGGAGCAAGCGUUGUUCGGAUUUACUGGGCGUAAAGGGCGCGUAGGCGGCCAGCACAAGUCAGUUGUGAAAUCUCCGAGCUUAACUCGGAAAGGUCAACUGAUACUGUGCGGCUAGAGUGCGGAAGGGGCAACUGGAAUUCUUGGUGUAGCGGUGAAAUGCGUAGAUAUCGGGAGGAACACCAGUGGCGAAGGCGAGUCUCUGGGAUGAUGCUGACGCUGAGGCGCGAAAGCCAGGGGAGCAAACGGG